UCAUCACCUGAAAAACAAAAUAGAAUAUGAAUUCAUGGAAAUGAAAUGUGAUUAAUAACUCGUAAAGACCAUAAUUAUUACUUUCUGUAAACAGUUCCGGUUGAAACCUGUCAAGAGAUUAAAACGAAAAAGUUACUAAAGGUAAAGGUAGGAAUAAAUUUCCUAUAAAAAAAAAACAUCACAACUCUUAACUGUUGUACAGGAAAAAUGAGAAAGGAGAUAUUCGACAACAUUGAACAUUUCUGAUAAACUCAUAAUUCAUAGUUCAACGAGAUACCAAAAAAUCUUUUUUAUCUAAUAUCUUUACAACCUAUACGAUUGCUUUUCAUUAUGUAAGAAUUAUAUGUGUAAAACCCCAUCAUCUCCCUCUACAUUAUUGCAGAUACGUACAAUUUUUCAUGUGGGUCUUAAAAUGUAGGCGUAACGAAGAAAAGUGUAAUCGCACAGAAAUUACGUGCAGAGACGAGCGAUACAUUUUCUUCCACAAUGACAUAUGAAAGGAGCAUUGUUUCAUUUGUUUAUGUCUUUUAAACUUACUAAUAAACAAAAAAUGCCAAGUGCUUCUAAUAUGGCUGUGAGCGUCGCUGUUGUGACACACGGUAAAAAGAAAAAAGGCCAUGCUACUGUUAGGUCGCCAAUCGCCAUAUAUAUUUCUACAUCUACAAAAGUCAGAAGUAUAGCGUUAUGUAACGUCAAGCCCGAGCCCGAGGUGACUGCCAGAUUCAUCAGAAACGUCGCUAUGCGUUGAGUUUCGUGCUCCGCCUCGAAAUAUUAUUAAUCAUAUUUUGUAACUUAAAUAUCGUGAAUUUGAUAACAAGAAUGUACACAAUCUUGUACUUUUGAUUCUAUAAAUAAAAAUCUCGUUAAACCACGUCAAAACAUGUUUUCUGCAGUGCAUUACAAGUAACAGGCUGGACUUUUUUUCAUUAAAAAAAAUUGUAUAAGAUCUUUUAUGAAACUCUACGCAAGUUUCUAAAAAAGAUAUCAUUGAGCAUAUCAAAGAGUGCUAAAUAUUGUCCUCUUCCCUAUUUUCUUUUCUUUUUUCUGAGAAAGUAAAUUGUUUAGCUGCAAUAAUAUCGACAGCCCUGGCUAUCAUCUAUUAUUGAUAGUUAUCUUCUGCCGAUUGAUGAAACGCUGGCCAGUGAUAAAAAUACCCAUAUUUUCUCUUCUGUACAUAGAUACAUAUCAGGGGCGGAUCCAGGAAUUGUGGUUACGGGGGGCGCCACUUUAUGAGGCAGUGAGUGCAGGGCGAAACCCUGGUGGGGGUCCAGGGGGCGAAGUCCCGGGAACCUCUGGAUAUUACAGAUUUUAUGGGGCUUGAAAUAUUUCUCGUAUUAAGUCAUUUGUACAAUUUUCUAUCAUUUUAAUAAGGUGAAAUUAAUAAAAUGACCCAAAUUUUAAGGGUGUUUUGGAAAAAAUUAAGUUCUCCCAAUAAAGUAAUUCAAGAAAUCAAAAGAUUUUGUCAUUUAUUUCCCCGGGAGUGGAAGAAAUUAUUCCUUCUUUUAUCGUUUAGUACAUUUUCCGAAACAAGAUACCGCGAUUUAACUUAAAUUUGAAAAUUUAUGCCACUGCAUAUUCUGUUAGAUUUUGAUGAUACCUCAUAAAAUAAUGUAUACAUGUAUAUAUUUUUAUAUUUAGAAUGCAUUUUUUUUUUUUAAAAUAACACUGCAUGGUUAUCCAUUGGUGUACACGUUUAUAACGUGAAGGCCGCGUAAACAUUAUGCAUUAGAAUAUGAUCAAAUCUGCUUGUAGAAAAAUUAAAUUUCAAUUUCAAAAUAUUGUUGUACCGGUAUUUUCAUCCAUAUCAAAUUUCUCUGGUGUAGCAUACCUCCUUAAGAACAGUUGAAUUUCUCUGAGGUACACCCUAUCGUUUCAAUGUAUUUUCCCCCCCAUUUAACUACAUUGCAAUUCAGUAUCAUGAAUUAAAUUUUGACAAUAAAAACAUAUACAAACCAAGCAGCAAAUGUUUCAUGUGUUUGUCAAUUUGGACUCAAUUUUGCAUUUUGCUCUCAAUAUUUCAAAGAUGCCAGACUGUGAUUAUAAUAUACGGGAAAAGACAAAACCCACCGUUGUUUCUCUCCGCGAAUCACUAUUGCAAUCAUGACGGUGUUAAUUUGAAAGUAGGAAAAGAUUGAAGAACAAAUGAGCUGUCAUCCUAUUUAUUCCGAGCUGCUCCCUACAGAACUGUUUACACGGACACCGCGUCUCCUGAAGGGAGUUCCGAACGCUCAAGUAAUCACUGACCACGGACACCGUAUCGAUCAGCAGACGAUCAACGACUUGGUGGGAAUGAUGUUUCCUUUGACUAAUGUCCACUGUCGGGGCCCCCGAAGUCUUCGAUCGUCUCCUAGACAUAUUUAUCAACUUUUUUCCAUGAGAAACUAAUCAAUGCACCAGAGAUUUCUUCUUCCGAUACAUGUUACUUUGUCCGUGUAUAAAUACGCACAUCAAGUUUGAUACUAAAUUACGUACACAAUACAAUCCUUAUUGAAUUCCUGAGUAAAAUUGCGUUUGGCAAGUACGUGAAGGAUGUUCGCUCAUCAGUACCAAAGUCAUAAAAAAAAAAAAGCAGAGUAUAUUUCAUCAGAGAGAAAAAUUGGGGUUCUAUGUGCCUUUUAUGAUGAGCCACAUAGCCAUUUUUGCACUUUUUGCAUGACUGAAUCUCCGCAAUAAAUGUACCACACAAAAAAAAUGAACAGUUUAAUCUAACAAACCUAAUGACAAAAGUAUUUUUAUGUAUUAGUCGUGACAUUUUUGCACUCAAUAUGUUAAUGAGUUUUACUUAUCAUAUAUAGCUCUGUCUUGCUUUGAAAAUUUCCAAGGUUAUGAACUUAUUUUGAAACUUCUGUAGCUGCCAUCGUUACAGCCUAAAAUCUUAAAUCAAAACAGAAAGUACGGAGUCCCGGUUUGAAAUUACUGAGAUAGAGAGGUGCAAGGACAAUUAUGGGUGAUUUUUACACGAAGCUUACAAAGAUUUCUCAAAUAUAUUUACUUGGUGUUAUUGAACACUUCUUUAAAUGUUGUUCAUCAGAUAAUAUUGAAAAUCUAGAAUUCUCUUGUAUAAUUUUGUAGAGUUUGAUAAAUAUCUUGUUUGUAAUAUAAACAAUGAAUCACAAAUAGAGAGCAUUUUGAAAGAAAAUUGUUCUGAUUUUCAGCUGCUACCACCACCACCACCACCACCACCAAAAGAAAUAAACAUUCGCCACAAAAUAGUCCAUUUAAAGUACUGUACAUGUAUAUAUAGAAUUUGAAAUCAUGCAGCAGGAAGUACAAAAAUUAUCUAAUUCUGACAAACACAAUAUAUACAUUAUAAAACCUGGGGAACGAACAUCAAGUCGGAUAGAGUGAGGGUUUCCCGGUCUUUCAAACUUCUGGAUCUAGUUGCACAAAGUUAAGCUAACUUCGGUUUAACUGCGUCCUUAUAAUCAACCGUGUUAUCUUACAUACAAUUCCCUAGAAAUUUUUGUUGUUAUGAAAUAUAAAUGUGAUUGGAUAAGAUUUUCAUCCAAAGAUCUUGUUUUCUAUCCCCGCUUCCACAGAACUUGUUUCUGGUAGAAUAAAAAUACACAACGGGUUGGAUGAAAUUCAUAUCCAAUUACAAAAUAUGGGAGAGUCUAUUUAUCACGUUUUUUAUCUAUUAUACACAUCGGUUUCUUUCUCUUUCGGUAAACAUUUCGUUAACAACAUUUUGUCGCCGAAAACAUGGUGUCUAAUACGAUAAAGAGCAGUUUUAAAAUUCAUGAAAGAUCACCUAAUGAAAACCGAUAAAGCACUUGGAAAGUCGAACUGAUUGUAAGAGAGCAAGGAACAGGGUAAUAUAAAGAUAUAUUGCACAGGCUAUCGAGGAAAUUACGGUGCAGAGUUUGACGUACGAAAAUCUACUUAACAAAUGUAAUAUUGCAGAAACUCCUUUUGAAUUCGUCCGAAGAUUAAAGUAAUUUUUGUAAUACAAAAAUAUUUACAUGUUUUGUAGGGCAACAUUAUAAAAUUAUUACAUAUUUUGUAGAGUAACAUGUAAAAUUGUCACCCCGCGAAAAAUCAUUGUUGACCGAGGCGAAGCCGAGUGAAAAAUCAUUGUUUCGCCUCGAUCGGUCAAGAAUGGUUUUUCAAGGGGUGACCAUUUCACAUGUUACCCUACAAAACACGUAAUAUUUUUUGUUAUACUGAAUGUUCUAAGAAUGCAUAUAAGUACGGUGAACCGUGUGUGCAAACGUUCUGCGCAGGUUCACAAAUUUUAUACUGGUACAAUGUACCUAUCGCCAUGUAUUGUCAACCAUUGCUGUGUACUGGUACCCGGAGGGCGUGGUUUAUGUGUACUGGUACCCGGAGGGCGUGGUUUAUGCACGCAGUGGGGUACCGGUACUUUUUAACAAAUGUUUCUGAAGCAAUCAAAUUCGUUUAAUUUACCUGAAAGUAUAACAAAUGUAAAUUAUCCUUCCUGUAGAAACGUCAAGUCCUAAAA